GACCUUGUGGCGCAACGGUAGCGCGUCUGACUCCAGAUCAGAAGGUUGUGUGUUCUAGUCACAUCAAGGUCA
rnacentral:tRNA from 1 species